rnacentral:rRNA from 1 species
AACGAACGCUGGCGGCAUGCCUAACACAUGCAAGUCGAACGGGAUCCUGGCUUCGGUCAGGUGAGAGUGGCGGACGGGUGAGUAACGCGUGGGAACCUGCCCAGUGGUGGGGGAUAACUGCGGGAAACUGCAGCUAAUACCGCAUGAGCCCGAGAGGGGAAAGAUUUAUCGCCAUUGGAGGGGCCCGCGUUCGAUUAGGUAGUUGGUGAGGUAACGGCUCACCAAGCCGACGAUCGAUAGCUGGUCUGAGAGGAUGAUCAGCCACACUGGGACUGAGAUACGGCCCAGACUCCUACGGGAGGCAGCAGUGGGGAAUAUUGGACAAUGGGGGCAACCCUGAUCCAGCAAUGCCGCGUGAGUGA